rnacentral:tRNA from 1 species
GUCGAGACAGCCUAUAGACAGACAAGAAGUGCAAUGUCUAGGUGCAUGUAGUAGAGUUAAAAUGGUUAUUCCAGCAAACUUCAAAUUAUUAGAAUAGUAAACAACGCAGAACAGAACAAUCAGGUUGAGGGUCAGUGGCCAAAAGCCCGCGAACAGGAAUAUUCCAAGUUCAGACAGAAGGGGGGAGUCAGAUCGCCAGGAACUUUACUUUUGGUUUCUAAUUUUAAUUGUUGCGCUACUGGUGACGCCUGUUGAUGUUAGGUAGGCAGCUACAGUAGGUGAAUGAUGUUAACAUCUUCAGGUUUUGUUUCAUUAAAUGUAUUUUAUUUUAUCUGGGUGCUUACGUCACCUACUAACACCCUGGUACUACGCAUAGAUCCCGCUCUCCUCAGUCUGAGAAAACACUGAGAGAGAAAGAUCAACAUAAAAGCCUUAAAGACAGCCGUGGUGUCGCUCUUCAAUUCUUGGUUCUCCUGUGGUGCAUAAGAAACCCGCUACAUGCAGUGGAAACAACCUGGAGCUGAACACAAAGAUAAGAAAGGACAUGAUAGAGGAUUUUAGGAAGCAGGAGAUAAUCACAUUGCUGUCGUGGAGCUGGUGGACUGGCAUAAACAUCUCUCCUGACAUGGUCAGCCAACACAAACCCACUGGGUGGGGGUACAGGUCCGUUGGGCAGGCAGAGGUAUAGGACCUUUAGAUAUAGAGUAAAGGGGAUAUUCUGUAAGGCUAUCACUUUGUAGAUCCAAGACCAAGAAAACACAUUCCCCUCAGGAUCAAUAGAGCACCAGCAUGUCCUGCAGCACUGGAGUGUGUUUUAAACUAUGUGCCUUUUACUUUGCAGUACUUAAAGCUAAUUUAAUAUUUAGCAUGUAUUACCAAAAUGACCAAAAGAUAAACAGACUUUUCAGUAUAGAAUGAAUGUAAGCAAUGCAUGAUGGCUAAUGGUGUUUUAUUCGGUUGUAGUUCCAUGUAUUUCUUACAAAAAAAAAACAGUGUAAACCAUUUUUAUUGACCAGAAUGUAACUGAAAAUACAAUAGCAGCCUUGCCAUUGUCCAUCAAUACCAAAACAUGUUUUUUUUUUCGUAUAACAUUUUGGGAAAUGUAUGUUGUCAUUGUAGUCUUACAUUUUGUUGGCCAACCAAAAUGACCAAAACGUUAACCCGUAAUAAGGCUAGGGUGGAAUUGUACUAUGAGCUGGCUGAGUGUAAAUACAUGGCUCUGAGUGUAAACCUUUUCACUAGAAACCUAGUUGUGUUCAAAUUACCGUCUGUGCGAAAUAGCUAGAAAGCUUUCGUAUUUCAACUUGGCUACACUUACGGUUAUGAAAACGAUAAAUGACGUGCAAUACCUGCGUCGAUCUGUGACGAGCAGCAAAACCCCGGAAAGCUUCUAGCCUACCGGAAAGUUACUAGAAGAACAUUUUUACAUUUUUUUAAAACAUUUUAGUCAUUUAGCAGACGCUCUUAUCCAGAGCGACUUACAGUAGUGAAUGCAUACAUUUCAUACAUUUUUCCCCGUACUGAACAAGAAUUGUUACUUCAUCCGGUUAUGUGACAUUUGUUGUUUAUAGAUUUUUCUCCCACACCAGAUGUCUGGACCCUGGACAGAUAACAGGUAGGUCGUCAGUUCGUCCCUUGUUGUCAGAAAUACAGCAUACAUACAUACACAUUUGUUUUCGUGUUUGUUAAAGUGUUUGGUUUAAAAAACGCGUUAAACCAGUAAGGAAGGUUACGUAACUGCCAGGUCGCAAUUGUAAAUGAGAACUUGUUCUCAACUUGCCUACCUGGUUAAAUAAAGGUGAAAUAAAUAAAAAACUAAGGUGAAUAAAGAAAGUUGCAUACACAACAGAAUGUGUGGAUAUUUUUGUUGCAUUACUUGCAUGUUAUUCUCACUUAUUAUUUUAGCCACCUAUAAAUUAGGCUAUAUAUUCCCCUUUUUCAUUUUACAUUUUAGUCAUUUAGCAGACGCUCUUAUCCAGAGCGACUUACAGUAGACUGCAUACAUUUUUACAUACUGGCCCACCGUGGGAAUCGAACCCACAACCCUGGCGUUGCAAGCGCCAUGCUCUACCAACUGAGCUACAGUGGGACUCUUUGCAUCUUCAAAGAAAUACACAUUGCCACUCAAUCUGUAUAAAUCGUGUGACAUCUCCUUGGAAGAAGGAGAGAGGGACCCCAGGAGGGACGUGAAGGAGUUGAUGAAAUCCUGUUAAGACAAACAAUCAGGUGAGAGGAGGUCCUAACUAGUCAAUGAUCUAAAUUGAUCAAAACCUGUAGACACUAGCCUUUAAGGACUGGAGUUACACACAUGAACAACAUGAACAAGGAAGUGACAGACUAAUAGCGCAUUAUUGGUAAAUGGUGACACACUGACUGAUCUGCAAGUAAUAAUAAUAGAUAUGUAUUUGUUAUUCAAAGUGAUUUGUAGAUCAGUCAGUCUGCGUGUGGAGGAGGAUGAAGACCUUUAGUUACGUGCAGGACAUAGUAAAACACACGCUAUCAAUGACAUGCAGCUUUUCUCAUAGACAGGGGAGGUUACUAUGUGAAGGAAUGUGUUAGGAUUGGUAGUUGUCUCUUUAUGUUUCUUUUGAGAUGGUAUGGCCUCUGAGGACCCCCAAGACCAACUGGAUGAGGCUAUUAAAAAGGCAGAACGCCUUGCUGAGGAGCUCAACCAAGAGAAGGACCCACAAGCCCAACUGGACGAGGCCAUUAACGAGGCAAAAAGGCUGGCUGAGGAGCUCAACCCAGAACGGGAAAAUAAGAAAAAGACAAACAAGCCUCCAGGGAUUAGGUUCAGAUGGAGACAAAGGGAUGAGAGAGGACAGAUUGUUCCUCAAACCAGGAAGGCAACUACAUCCACUUCCCUUGCUCCAAGGGCCAGUACAUCAAGAGCCAGACUAGUGCAACCUUCUGGGCCAGUCACUGAGGAGGAAGAAUCAGAGACAAGGACCAGUGGAUUGGAAUCCACUCCAGUUUUAAACAUUGAUGAAGAAAUAGGUCUCUACAAUGUUACAGUGCCUGUGCUGACCUGCACAACCUGUCUUUGCACCUGGACAGCAAACUUGGCAGAUCUGAUAAAGAAUGGGUUCUGGCCUGCCACUGUCAACUGUGACACCAUAUACCAGGUAGAUGUGUUCAGCUCUUUUGAGGAGCUGAAAGUGUCAGCCCCAGGAAUGUCCCGUCUAGCGUUUAUACGGAUUUUGGAGCAGCGAACUGACUUCUUUGGCAGGAAUGGAAUGAUCUGUGGGGACACUUUCCAAAAAAGCUUCUUUGAGUGGACGUACUGCCGCUCUGAAAUUGAACAGGUCUGUGAUAUACAGUACUUUGACUGCCCAGCCUGUUCACCCAGCAUGCUUGCAGUGUCAGUGGACGGGAACAAGAAGCUGUAUCGAUUCAAAAAAGGCUAUGUAAAACUAUUCAUAAUUUAUUAAAUAACACCGUACUCUAUAUCAUUUAAACAAUCCAAACAAGGUUUGCCUUUUCUUUGUCCAGUGUGAACGUUUUCAAAUGCAGUUGAGUUCAUUUUAGCUUAAAUGUUUUGCGUUUGUAAUGAAAUUAAUUAUCAACAUUGUCAAGUGUCCACAAUCAGUUACUGAGGUUGAUUGCUAUUUCAUAUGUAAUAUAUUUAAUGUAUUUCACGUAUCCUUUCAAGGACUGAUGACAAAGGAUUCUUUGAUGGCGUGUUUAUCUGCAAGGACGAGGAUGUCUGACUUUGUGAACUAUGUCCAUACAAAGACUAAACAUUUACGUUUCCUGUGUAUCUUCUAAUCUGUGAAAUAGGACUGGCCUCGGGCCAUCUGACUCAAAGGCAGACUCGUUAUACACUAUUCCAAUAAAAACAUAUCAUUUUGGAGAUGGUAAUCCUCUCUCUUCAAGUCCAUUUGUCGUUACACUACUCCCUCUGUUCAGAAAUGCAACACACUUUACAAGUGCUUCUUUUUGAUAGUCGAUCUCCAUUGUAGCGAACAUAGGGGGUAGCUCAGCGCCCUCGGCUAGAUUUUAAAAACCUAACCACUGUCCCGUUAACACUCCCCCCCCAAAACAUUUUUUCUACCUAUACUCUUCUACUUCCUUGUCUAGGGUUAUGGAAAAGGGGUAUGUGGAGCAUCCCAGUGGACAGCAGCUAAAGAGUCAAGGAAAACAAACGACAACUUGAUGAAGAGGGACUCGAAGUUGCCGUCUGCCGCCACGGAAUACUUCUAAGGAGCCUCAACAUGAUGCGUGGAGAGAUAUUUGCGUACCCACUGUUCUUGCAGAAGGAAUUGUCUGGCAGCAGGAACAUACAAUUCAUGUGUACAGAUGUGAUCUGCAAAUUUUGGCCAUACCUGACCAAAGUUGCCCUUCAUUGUCCAGAGCUCGCCACUCUUCUAGACAUGAAGCCACUUCUUUCCGUCAUGCAUGCAAAGGCACAUCGUUUGAAAUGCGAGCAAGAACAGACAUGCUAACCAUCCAGGCCAUGGGGUGGAACAGAAGGAAGAAGAACAACCUGCACAGAGUAUUGUCCAGAAGAUACUUGAAGACAACAGCAAAAAUCCAGGAGGAGACCCAGACUCUUGAAAAGUUUAAGAGUGAUUUGGGUGUAGGCGAUGAGACUCUGUACAACUGGACAACGGAAGUUCAGCAAUGGGCUAAUACAGAGGAAACAAAUGAGAACAUGGAUGGUCCCCAGGUACUACAGAGAACAAUUGAAGUCCUGUUUCUGAGCAUCAAAGGAAACAGAACCUCUACCGUCAGACAGAUGGAUGCAAGAAAAGACACCCUCUGCGCAGAAAGAUAUUAGAAGAAUAGGCCAAAUUGACAGCUGCCAUAGAGGAGUACAACACCCUUGUACCAGAUGAGAUCCUUUCCGCAGACCUUCGUACCUGGCCUUGGGAGCUGCAUGGACAAACUGACCUACUCACAAAGAAAAUAGCCUUUGACCGGGUGAUGCUCCUGAGACGGCUGAAGGAGGAAGAGUUAAUUGUCCUAAAGGAAGUCAAGCAGCACUGGGAAAGCCUAAAGAGGGAAUCGGAGAAUGUGCAAGGCCUUGCUUCACAUGUGGCACCUGACCUAAGCAGGCAAAGCUGGCAAUUGAAUCAGUCGGAAGCUGGGAGCAGAGGUCUCUUCUCCAUGCUUCAGAGGAGAGUCAGCAGCCUCGAAAGACACCAGGACUCUGUCAAACUGAUAUACAGCAAGCUAUGGGCCAAGACACCUCCCUCCUAGAAAAUAACUUCAUAGAUGACCUCCUGGAAGAGGACCUAGAUGACAUCUAUGACAGCAUCCACUACAGCUUUGAUGACGAGGAAUCUAUCACAGACUGAAGGUGUUCGUUUGGGUGGGUGCAGUUUGCACUGGUUGAAAAGUGAUUCCAUUUGUUUUGCAUAUGUGCUUUAUCUGCCUUCCUAAGGAAAAAUAGUUUGAACAUUUUAUGAAAAAAAAACUUUUGUUUCUUCCUUGUUGACAAUGUGAUCAUGUGGCACAGAUUUGAGAAGGGCGCUCGUCUAUUACUGCUUUUGCCCGGUUACAUGACCAGGUCCGAUGCACCCCUUUAAAUGGCCAAUCUGCAGUUGCUACAUCCACUUUUGGAUUCUUGAAGAAUAUAAUUUAUAAAUGCCUCAUGAACAUAGUUCAACUGCCGUACCCCAUCAGAUCCCAAAAUAUAUAUUUUUAUCUACUCCAAUGUUUGUAAACAAAGUAAAUGUAAACUUACACUAGCAUGUGUCAAACUCAUUCCACGGGUGAGCCGAGUGUCUGCGGGUUUUUGCUCCUCAAAUGAUUGAUGAAUUAAGGUCACUAAUUAGUAAGGAACUCCCCUCACCUGGUUGCCUAGGAAAAACCUCAAACCAGCAGACACUAGGCUCUCCAUGGAAUGAGAUUGACACCACUGGACUAUAGCCUGGAAACAUGGUUUAAACUAUGGUUCCAUUUCUCCAGCCCCAUCCCUCUGCUUUUAACAGAACCACUGGACUAUAGCCUGGAAACAUGGUUUAAACUAUGGUUCCAUUUCUCCAGCCCCAUCCCUCUGCUUUUUACAGAACCACUGGACUAUAGCCUGGAAACAUGGUUUAAACUAUGGUUCCAUUUCUCCAGCCCCAUCCCUCUGCUUUUUACAGAACCACUGGACUAUAGCCUGGAAACAUGGUUUAAACUAUGGUUCCAUUUCUCCAGCCCCAUCCCUCUGCUUUUUACAGAACCAUUGGCAGGGAGAACGAUGUAUUGUUUCACCUGGUGAUUUCCGAUUUAAACAUUGUUAAACUGUAAUGUACUGUGCUUAUGUGUGCUUAUUAGUUUAGUUAAUAAAAAACUAAAAAAGGUCA